GAUGAACGCUGGCGGUAUGCUUAACACAUGCAAGUCGAACGGACUCUUCGGAGUUAGUGGCGGACGGGUGAGUAACGCGUGAGAAUCUGGCUUUGGGUUCGGGACAACCACUGGAAACGGUGGCUAAUACCGGAUGUGCCGAGAGGUAAAAGAGAAAUUGCCUGAAGAUGAGCUCGCGUCUGAUUAGCUAGUUGGUGAGGUAAAGGCUCACCAAGGCAGCGAUCAGUAGCUGGUCUGAGAGGAUGACCAGCCACACUGGGACUGAGACACAGCCCAGACUCCUGCGGGAGGCAGCAGUGGGGAAUUGUCCGCAAGGGGCGAAAGCCUGACGGAGCAAUACCGCGUGAGGGAAGAAGGCUCUGGGGUUGUAAACCUCUUUUCUUAGGGAAGAACAAAAUGACGGUACCUAAGGAAUCAGCAUCGGCUAACUCCGUG
rnacentral:rRNA from 1 species